AUUGAACGCUGGCGGCAUGCCUUACACAUGCAAGUCGAACGGCAGCACGGGAGCAAUCCUGGUGGCGAGUGGCGAACGGGUGAGUAAUAUAUCGGAACGUGCCCAGUCGUGGGGAUAACGUAGCGAAAGCUACGCUAAUACCGCAUACGAUCUAUGGAUGAAAGCGGGGGAUCGCAAGACCUCGCGUGAUUGGAGCGGCCGAUAUCAGAUUAGGUAGUUGGUGAGGUAAAGGCUCACCAAGCCGACGAUCUGUAGCUGGUCUGAGAGGACGACCAGCCACACUGGGACUGAGACACGGCCCAGACUCCUACGGGAGGCAGCAGUGGGGAAUUUUGGACAAUGGGCGCAAGCCUGAUCCAGCAAUGCCGCGUGCAGGAUGAAGGCCUCGGUUGUAAACUGCUUUUGUUACGGAACGAAACGGUGAGCUCUAAUACAGUUGCUAAUGACGGUACCGUAAGAAUAAGACACCGGCUAAC
rnacentral:rRNA from 1 species